GACGAACGCUGGCGGCGUGCUUAACACAUGCAAGUCGAACGGAAAGGCCCUGCUUGCAGGGUACUCGAGUGGCGAACGGGUGAGUAACACGUGGGUGAUCUGCCCUGCACUUCGGGAUAAGCCUGGGAAACUGGGUCUAAUACCGGAUAGGAGCCAUUUUUAGUGUGAUGGUUGGAAAGUUUUUUCGGUGUAGGAUGAGCUCGCGGCCUAUCAGCUUGUUGGUGGGGUAAUGGCCUACCAAGGCGGCGACGGGUAGCCGGCCUGAGAGGGUGGACGGCCACAUUGGGACUGAGAGACGGCCCAGACUCCUACGGGAGGCAGCAGUGGGGAAUAUUGCACAAUGGGCGCAAGCCGGAUGCAGCGACGCCGCGUGGGGGAUGACGGCCUUCGGGUUGUAAACUCCUUUCGCUAGGGACGAAGCUUUUUGUGACGGUACCUAGAUAAGAAGCACCGGCUAACUACGUG
rnacentral:rRNA from 1 species